rnacentral:rRNA from 1 species
UACGUAGGGGGGCAAGCGUUAUCCGGAUUUACUGGGUGUAAAGGGAGCGUAGAGCGGCAUGGCAAGUCAGAAGUGAAAGCCCGGGGGCUCAACCCCCGCGGACUGCUUUUGAAACUGCUGAGCUAGAGUGCAGGAGAGGUAAGUGGAAUUCCUAGUGUAGCGGUGAAAUGCGUAGAUAUUAGGAGGAACACCAGUGGCGAAGGCGGCUUACUGGACUGGAACUGACGUUGAGGCUCGAAAGCGUG